GAGAGCCCGGCGUCCGUUUCCCGGCCGGACCGGCGCCGUCGGGAGUGGAGUCCCAGGUCCCUCAACUCGGACUUUCCCCGGAGGCAGCAGUUGGAAUUUUGCAAAGACAGGCCGUUCUCCCACCCACAUUUUCAAUGCAAAUACCUGAAAUACAGGCUAAUUUAAUCAGUACCGUCUUUAUUUUUUUUUUUCCUUUUGUCUUAACGUCCUCUCCUGACACGUCGCCACGCCAGUCAGCACCUGUUCCGCGUCCGGCUCAAAAAACAGAAACCUGAGAGGAUCCCCACGGGAGAAUGAGAGAAAAGGACGGUAUUCCAAGUGGAGGAAGGACAGGGCAGAAGCACUGACGCCUCCUUGGCUUGUUUAACGAGAGAGUGCAGCAUAUCCCAGAUGGUGGAGUAUGAUAAUAGCCUGUGUCUUUAAAUAAAAAGAAAGGCCCUGCCCCGCCUCCAGGAGAGGCUGCUAGGA